CUCGAUCUCAAAUCAAGUAAGACUACCCGCUGAACUUA
rnacentral:rRNA from 1 species